ensembl:lncRNA
CCCCAUCCACCCACCACUCCCCAGGCAGGGUAGGGCCCUCAACGGGGGCUCUACAAAGUCCACCAAACCUUCCUGUGCUGGUCCUGGGCCCUUCCCCAUGUGUCCAGGGCCAGAGUGUAACCCUUCACAUGAGAUGGGCUCUCGAAGUCCCUUCUUGCACCAGGGAAAAAUACUAAUCCACCACCAGAGGCUCCCUGGAGUGCAGAGGCCUCCUUAUUGACAUCCAUGUUCAGGGAUCUGGAUCAGUCUUGUACUGGCCUCCCCGACAGCAUCUGGGGUCGAUGUGCUCUCCCUUGUCCAGGCCAACUGUUCCUGUGGGUUUCUCCAACCUGGUACAGACCCCUUCGCUCUUCAUUCCUCCCUCUCUUCAAAAUAAUUCCCGAUUUCAGCUCAGUGUGUAUCUGUGGAUGUCUAUCUCUGCUUCCAUCAGCCACUGGAUGAGACCUCUAGUUCCUGAGUCGGUCGUCGGAAAGAGUCGGUGGGGAGUUCUUAAGCAUCAAGAUUUAGAACUCUCAGCUCCUUCUCCAGCACCAUGUCUGCUUGCACGCUGCCAUGCUUCUCACCAUGAUGAUAUGGACUAACCCUCUGAAACUGUAAGCCACAAUUAAAUGUUUUCCUUUAUAAUGAAAGACCCGCUCGGAAUGCCCCUGAGCCCCCUGCCCUGAAGCUGCCGGGGCCUCCCAAGCCUUCACCCCGGCAGGGCUCGCGCCCCCGGCCCGCCCCGCCUGGCACCUCGCCUCGGGGCUGGGGCCGAGCAACGAGCACCAGGUGGGCCGACACGAGGGCGAGCACCAAGUGAGCCGGCCUAGCCCCCGCCCGAUGAGAAACACUCCGUCCCAAGGUCUCUGCCCCCAAGGUCGUCCAUCAGGACGCAGAGGGGGGGAAUUGAGUCUGUUGUACCAGACACCAGACCUUGAGAAUAUGCUGAUCUGGAAUGGCUCUGUGUCUCAUUUGAACCAUCCAAUAGAAAUGAUUCUGUAUUUCGCCUCAUUUGAAAGACUCUGUGUUUCACCUCAUUUGAAUAACUCUAUACUUCGCCUCAUUUGAAUAACCCUGUAUAGCGCCUCAUUUACAUUGACCAAUGGGAAUAGCUCUGUACGAUGCCUCAUUAGAAUUAUCCAAUAGAAUCCCUGCUUCUAGCUUGCGCCUUUUUCCCUAUAUAAGGACCCCUCUCCCUUGGCUCGGGGCGCUUAGCCACACAGAAGCUAAGUCGCCCCGGGUACCCGCGUCUCCAAUAAAGCCUCUUGUUUUUGCAUCCAGUUCGUGGCCUCGCUGAUUCCUGGGUGUGGGUCUCCCUCUACGAAAGUACCUCUUCGGGGGUCUUUCAAUAAGAGUUGCCAUGGUCAGCUCACUGUUGUUUUUAAAUAAGUAUCUAUUGUUCUAUUUCAUCAAUAAAGACAAAGGAGCCAGAUGCUGGGGUGAAAACCUGCUCAUUCAGAGAGGCAGAGAAAUCACCCAGCUGCUUCCUCCUCCACCAUUGUACCAGAAAGAGCUUUCUCCUACACCGUCUCAAACAGAAUCUCUUCUGACCAGAUGUCCCUCCUUUCUACUUCCUGUUUGUAUGUCUCUCUGUCUUCCUGACUUCCUCUUAUUCUCUAUGGUUAUCUCCUAUCAACUGGUUGUUUGCUCUGCCUCUUGACCUAUGGUUGAUUUUGCUUAAUCCUAUUUAUAACAUUCAAGCAGAAAGCUCUUGAAUAAAAGGGGUGUGCUAGGGCUGAGUCACACCACAACUAGAAGCAGGUAUUUCCAGUAAAUAACGAAAUCUUGGGGUUCACUCGUUGUUCUUUUGUUUAAGUUAGAGUGCGCUAGAGAUGGAAUUGACGCUAUGGAACGUAAACAGGAGAUACAUUAACC